AUGGUUGAGAUUCAAAAAGUUAUCUUAAAAUGAAACAAGUCAAACAUAUGGGAAGUCUAAGAAAUUGUUUUAGUUCAACUCAGCCUAACAGAGAAAGUUAGACACAAUUAUUAAUUUUGAUCUAUAUUGCUCAAUCAGCCUAUUUAUAUGGUGGUGACUAUUUACUUUUGGUGCACUGCAUAGGCGACAAUUUACAUGGUUAAAAUCAUGUCAUCUUAUGGUUAGGAAAAUAUAUAUUUUUUGAAACUGCGAAUUUAUAUUUCUACAAAUAACCAGCCGCCUUUCCUUUUCCAUACAUUUUUGACAUAACGUGAAUUGUUUAUAAUAUAUUUUACCCUUUAUUGUUUAGGAUUGUUUGUUGCCACCGAUAAGAUCAAUGUGGGAAUUCUCAGUUGAUCAGAAUACAAAUAAAACAUUGGAAGGUGAGUUAAGGAGUUGUUGUCAAGAAGGCAAUACCAUAGGCAGGUCGCGUUGAAUAUCAACUACAAAUCAAUUGUAAUUAUACAUGUAGUGGCCAUAAUGUUUCGUAAUAGUUACCAAAUUCCCAACGUGUACGCAGCAUGAAAAGUUUAUAACUCUUCUUACAGUGAAGACAUAUAUCAUACUUUUUGUAUGAUUAUAAGUAUGUAUUAAAUGAGUAAAAUUACUGCGCAAA